GUAAUAAUCCUGUAGUCGAAAAUGUUGUCUCUCUUGAGUGGAUCCUGAGUACGACGGAGCACGUGAAAUUCCGUCGGAAUCUGGGAGGACCAUCUCCUAAGGCUAAAUACUCUCUAGUGACCGAUAGUGAACCAGUACCGUGAGGGAAAGGUGAAAAGCACCCCGGAAGGGGAGUGAAAUAGAACCUGAAACCGUGUGCUUACAAGUAGUCAGAGCCCGUUAAUGGGUGAUGGCGUGCCUUUUGUAGAAUGAACCGGCGAGUUACGAUUUGAUGCAAGGUUAAGCAGUAAAUGUGGAGCCGUAGCGAAAGCGAGUCUGAAUAGGGCGUUUAGUAUUUGGUCGUAGACCCGAAACCAGGUGAUCUACCCUUGGUCAGGUUGAAGUUCAGGUAACACUGAAUGGAGGACCGAACCGACUUACGUUGAAAAGUGAGCGGAUGAACUGAGGGUAGCGGAGAAAUUCCAAUCGAACCUGGAGAUAGCUGGUUCUCUCCGAAAUAGCUUUAGGGCUAGCCUCAAGUGAUGAUUAUUGGAGGUAGAGCACUGUUUGGACGAGGGGCCCCUCUCGGGUUACCGAAUUCAGACAAACUCCGAAUGCCAAUUAAUUUAACUUGGGAGUCAGAACAUGGGUGAUAAGGUCCGUGUUCGAAAGGGAAACAGCCCAGACCACCAGCUAAGGUCCCAAAAUAUAUGUUAAGUGGAAAAGGAUGUGGCGUUGCCCAGACAACUAGGAUGUUGGCUUAGAAGCAGCCAUCAUUUAAAGAGUGCGUAAUAGCUCACUAGUCGAGUGACACUGCGCCGAAAAUGUACCGGGGCUAAACAUAUUACCGAAGCUGUGGAUUGUCCUUUGGACAAUGGUAGGAGAGCGUUCUAAGGGCGUUGAAGCAUGAUCGUAAGGACAUGUGGAGCGCUUAGAAGUGAGAAUGCCGGUGUGAGUAGCGAAAGACGGGUGAGAAUCCCGUCCACCGAUUGACUAAGGUUUCCAGAGGAAGGCUCGUCCGCUCUGGGUUAGUCGGGUCCUAAGCUGAGGCCGACAGGCGUAGGCGAUGGAUAACAGGUUGAUAUUCCUGUACCACCUAUAAUCGUUUUAAUCGAUGGGGGGACGCAGUAGGAUAGGCGAAGCGUGCGAUUGGAUUGCACGUCUAAGCAGUAAGGCUGAGUAUUAGGCAAAUCCGGUACUCGUUAAGGCUGAGCUGUGAUGGGGAGAAGACAUUGUGUCUUCGAGUCGUUGAUUUCACACUGCCGAGAAAAGCCUCUAGAUAGAAAAUAGGUGCCCGUACCGCAAACCGACACAGGUAGUCAAGAUGAGAAUUCUAAGGUGAGCGAGCGAACUCUCGUUAAGGAACUCGGCAAAAUGACCCCGUAACUUCGGGAGAAGGGGUGCUCUUUAGGGUUAACGCCCAGAAGAGCCGCAGUGAAUAGGCCCAAGCGACUGUUUAUCAAAAACACAGGUCUCUGCUAAACCGUAAGGUGAUGUAUAGGGGCUGACGCCUGCCCGGUGCUGGAAGGUUAAGAGGAGUGGUUAGCUUCUGCGAAGCUACGAAUCGAAGCCCCAGUAAACGGCGGCCGUAACUAUAACGGUCCUAAGGUAGCGAAAUUCCUUGUCGGGUAAGUUCCGACCCGCACGAAAGGCGUAACGAUUUGGGCACUGUCUCAACGAGAGACUCGGUGAAAUCAUAGUACCUGUGAAGAUGCAGGUUACCCGCGACAGGACGGAAAGACCCCGUGGAGCUUUACUGUAGCCUGAUAUUGAAAUUCGGCACAGCUUGUACAGGAUAGGUAGGAGCCUUUGAAACGUGAGCGCUAGCUUACGUGGAGGCGCUGGUGGGAUACUACCCUAGCUGUGUUGGCUUUCUAACCCGCACCACUUAUCGUGGUGGGAGACAGUGUCAGGCGGGCAGUUUGACUGGGGCGGUCGCCUCCUAAAAGGUAACGGAGGCGCUCAAAGGUUCCCUCAGAAUGGUUGGAAAUCAUUCAUAGAGUGUAAAGGCAUAAGGGAGCUUGACUGCGAGACCUACAAGUCGAGCAGGGUCGAAAGACGGACUUAGUGAUCCGGUGGUUCCGCAUGGAAGGGCCAUCGCUCAACGGAUAAAAGCUACCCCGGGGAUAACAGGCUUAUCUCCCCCAAGAGUUCACAUCGACGGGGAGGUUUGGCACCUCGAUGUCGGCUCAUCGCAUCCUGGGGCUGUAGUCGGUCCCAAGGGUUGGGCUGUUCGCCCAUUAAAGCGGUACGCGAGCUGGGUUCAGAACGUCGUGAGACAGUUCGGUCCCUAUCCGUCGUGGGCGUAGGAAAUUUGAGAGGAGCUGUCCUUAGUACGAGAGGACCGGGAUGGACAUACCUCUGGUGUACCAGUUGUCGUGCCAACGGCAUAGCUGGGUAGCUAUGUGUGGACGGGAUAAGUGCUGAAAGCAUCUAAGCAUGAAGCCCCCCUCAAGAUGAGAUUUCCCAACUUCGGUUAUAAGAUCCCUCAAAGAUGAUGAGGUUAAUAGGUUCGAGGUGGA
rnacentral:rRNA from 1 species